rnacentral:lncRNA from 1 species
CAGCCCCAGCCCAAGUCCCCAACCCGAUCCGUUCCAUCUUCUAAUCGAAACGACAUCAUUUCGUGGGCUCCGAAUCGGGACCGCUGGAUCUCAUCAAUCCAACGGUCCGGAACUAACGAGGUUCUUAAUUUAAAAGGGUCCGAAAACCCACCCCAGACCAUCGUCUUCCUCAUUCCACCCCUCCUCGCAAACCCUAAUCCGUGCCGCCCUUAAAUCCCUCGCUGGCGGUGAACGCAACCUACGUCGUUCACCCCCAGAUUAACACCACAGAUCCUCCUCACUCUCCUCUUUCCAUUGCACCCACUGGUUCCCCUCGAAUAAGGCCGGAACUCGUCGAAUCUUCAAUUGAAGUUUCCGGUCAAAUCGAAGGUUCAUCCAAAUCAGCCCAAAAUCACACCACACAACCCCCGGCCCUCCCUCAACACUAAUCCAUGGUUAUUUUCCUUCAAAUCACUGUGAAACGGCUCGAAUCUUAGAUCUGAGAAUUUCUGGCCAAAACCCCGUCAAAAAUCUGAAAGGAUUCAGACGUUUCUGACUGGCCGGAGUUCCUCGUGCCUCUGUGAGUUUUUUUUACGGUUUCUUUUUACUCGCAUGUUUGAAGUUUCAGUUACAGUUUUGUUCUGUUAAUUUUUCUGUUAAUUUUAUGAUUUAUUUGUAUUAGUUUAGUUAUAUCAAUUGUUGAUUAGUUCUGAGCUGAUAUUUGUUUGAAUAAUUGUGAGUUUAUGGGUUAAGAAUUAGUUUCAAUUCAUUUAAUGUUGUUCAUGUUAGCUUAAGCUUAGUUUGAUUGAGUUAAUAUAAUUGAAUAAAUUGGUUUUAGUCAGUCUGAUUAGUUAGUUCCUGAAUGCUAAUUAAUCAAUUUCAGUUAGUUUUAGAUUGGAUUAGGGUAUUGGUUAUAGCUGUUAAGAAUGAGGGUAGGUUCAGUAACUUUGGGGAACCUUUAGGGGUAGUCUGGGUAUGGAAAAGGGUAGUUCUGAUAGGAAUAGUAAUUUCAAAGCAUGUGGAAGGGCGGUAUGGGUAUUGUAUGGGUAGAAGAAUACCCUAGAGCCUUCUAGAAUGGGGUACAAGUGUAGAUUUUAAUAGUUGUGAUGCAUUUACUUGUUUAGCAAGUUAAGAAUAGAGGGACCAAACUGAAAAUAGGGAGGGGACUGAUUGGAAAAUCAGAAUCUGAUCUAUUCUCUUUGGGGUUGCCUAUAAAAGGGCAUAAAAUGCCUUGGGAAAGGGGGUUCCUCUUCUUCCUUGAGCUCUAAGCUCGAAAAUUCCCACAAAAGGCCCUCCUCUCUGCUUUCAAAUCCAGUUAGUAGUUAAAUUCCAGAAUUCAAAAAUACAAACAUCAAAAAUGAGAAAAUCAAAAACAAUCUUACAGUUUCAGUAUUAGUUCUGGAUUUCAGUUGGGUUUUGGGUUUAGCAGUAUCGCAGAGGUGUUUGGGUUCAGCUGUGAGGAUAGGAGUGCAUUUGAAGUGUGUGUUGAAUUGAUCUGUGAAGUCUGCCUGCAUUUCUGGUUUUUCAAAGCAGUCUGCAUGUAUUUCUGUGGUAUAUAUUGCUGAGUUUGCUGCUGUUGCUGUUCAGAGUAGCUGACUCUUUUCCUUCUUAUAUUUUCAUUUAUCCAGGUACACAAUUAUACCCCUGAUGAAUGUGAGUUUAAAUGGGCAGAAAUGAAUUAUUUGAAGAAUGAAUGUACAUGAACUGAGUUCUGAUUUAGCUAACUUUCAGAUCUAAUUACUCAAUGUUCAAUUCAUGGAUAUUAUUUAAAGUUUUGCUUGCUUUAGUGCUAAAUAGACUAUAUGAACUGUUAUAUUUUAGAAUCAUGUGAGUAUUAUGAAGUGAAUACCAGUACUAGUUGAUUACAUGAUGUAUUGAUAGCAAUGCUGGCAUGAAUUGAUUCAGAAAUAGCUCGUUUGCUUCAUGUUUUUGAGAUUGUGUUUAUAGCUUAGUUUACCUUGGUCAUGUCUAAGAAAAUCACCAGAAUGUCAUUAGAAGAAGUAGCCUGUAUAUGAAGUGGAAUUCAAUUGACUAAUUUCCUUCUAAGUUAAGUAGAUGUGCAUUAUUUCCCUUUGGCUGAUUAUUGAAUACUUGCAAUAGUUUAGAGAUAAUUUCAAAGUGUUGUCUGGG